UUUUCUAUUUCAAUGUGAAAAAACCUCUUCCCAAUGCUGCCUAUUUUGUUUCCCUACUCUAUCAAUAAAUCCUCAUCUCAUUUUAUUUUCAAUCUCAUUCUUCCCCUCUCUCAAACCCUAAACAAUUAUCUCUCUUUGUAAAAUUUGACUCAAAGGGUGUUGAUUCAAUUCCCUUUUGAUGGUUCGUUUGAAGAAAAAAAUUCCUCAUCCUAAUCUACUCCGUCCACUCCUUCUACCUUUCCAGUGACGCUCCUCGCGAUUUUCAAACCCUAUAUAGAGAUACAAUCUUAAAAAUAUUCGCAAAUCAUACCAUGUUUACUUGAUUCCAUUGUAUAGUUGUCUUGAAAAUUUUCGGGUGGUGAUGAAAGCAUCCUUUUGCUUUUAAGUUCGGAAUAAUAAAUUGGCCACUGCUGAAAUGACUCUUGCAGGUUAAGCAUAACAUAUAAAUUAGAGAUGGGAAGACAACUGAAGAAGAGUACGCAAAUUUGGGCCAGACAUCUUCCACCUAUUCAUAUGACCUCCUACCUCACUAUUAUGUUUCUUCCAUCUUCAUUGUUCGUAUUUAAAUUUCAAAACUUCCUCGCCUCCUCCUUCACUGAUUCGACUUCCUUCAUUUUCCCCAAUACGAAAUCCCAAUAUUCAAGUUGCUAAUCAAAGCUCUUUUUGUCUGCAUGUGGAGAAAAUGAUCCAGAUUCAAAUAUUACUGAGAAAGAUGAACAUGUUGAUUAUGAAGUAUUUAGAGCUAGCUACUCAAUUCUCCGGGACCAAACCAUUCAAGAAAUUAAAGAUUUAACCAAAUUCUUGAAUAGAUUUUUUGGAUAAUUAGAAUUAAAUAUAUUUGGUAGCCUUUUUGAACAAGGAUGUUAACUUUA